rnacentral:lncRNA from 1 species
CCAGCAGUGCCUGGAAAGACAGUGUAAACUGUGUUUUUCAUCUCCUUGGAGAGCUUGGACAUAGUGUAGUCUAGGGCAUUAUCUGUUGCUUUCCAAGCUCUCAGAAAGCUGUCAUUUCAACACUCCCUGUUUUUUAAAAGGUUUUUUUUUUUUUUUUUUUUUUUUUUUUUUUUUGUGUUCCCUUGUCUAUCUUUUCAAGGGCCUUUACAGGGAAGAGGCUGAUUGUAGAAGAGGAAAAGGCUGCCAGACACACUAGGUCAACAGUGAAAAGAGAUUGCAUACCACAUUCUGGAACCAAAUUUAGAGUGAAUGAUAUGCAAAUUUUAAAGAAACAAAAAUAAUCUCUGCUGCGUUUUUACCAUCUCCCCAAAUGAAGAAAGUGGAUGAGGAUUAAGCCCUGAUCUACCUCUCUGAUGUUGGAUUUCCCCAUCAACUGUCUUGAUCCCACACCAAGCAACCUAGCUGAAAAAAAAUCACAGAUGAGGGAUAUUUAAAAGAGCCUUGGCUAUUAUUAUUUAGCCAAUCUUAAUCUAUCCAUUGCUGCUAAAUCACCUAUUUUGACAAAUGGGGAAUAUCCACUACAGAAAUAGUCUAACUGUAUACUGACAUACGAUUCCUUUUUUUUCUCCCAUUAGUAUCUUCUGUGGUGUGCCUGUGAAUUGUGAAUAUGGAAUCUGUUUAUUCAAAAGGAUUCAUAUGGUCAAGUUUUCUGUCUGUUUACUUGCUUAAAUAAAUGUUCUCAAUUUAACACAACAAUUUGUAAUGAGUACUGUGAAACAAAGUUAAAAGAAUGAGUUCUUGAAAUAGAAAUUGUAAUAAAAUGCUUUUCUCCUCU